AACGAACGCUGGCGGCAUGCCUAACACAUGCAAGUCGAACGAGACCUUCGGGUCUAGUGGCGCACGGGUGCGUAACACGUGGGAAUCUGCCCUUUGCUUCGGAAUAACAGUUAGAAAUGACUGCUAAUACCGGAUGAUGUCGAAAGACCAAAGAUUUAUCGGCAAAGGAUGAGCCCGCGUAGGAUUAGGUAGUUGGGGGGGUAAAGGCCUACCAAGCCGAAGAACCUUAGCUGGUCUGAGAGGAUGAUCAGCCACACUGGGACUGAGAAACGGCCCAGACUCCUACGGGAGGCAGCAGUGGGGAAUAUUGGACAUUGGGGGAAAGCCUGAUCCUGCAAUGCCGCGAGAGUGAUGAAGGCCUUAGGGUUAUAAAGCUCUUUUACCAGGGAUGAUAAUGACAGUACCUGAAGAAUAAGCUCCGGCUAACUCCGUGCCAGCAGCCGCCGUAACAC
rnacentral:rRNA from 1 species